rnacentral:rRNA from 1 species
UACGAAGGGGGCUAGCGUUGCUCGGAAUCACUGGGCGUAAAGGGUGCGUAGGCGGGUUUUUAAGUCAGGGUGAAAUCCUGGAGCUCAACUCCAGAACUGCCUUUGAUACUGAAGAUCUUGAGUCCGGGAGAGGUGAGUGGAACUGCGAGUGUAGAGGUGAAAUUCGUAGAUAUUCGCAAGAACACCAGUGGCGAAGGCGGCUCACUGGCCCGGUACUGACGCUGAGGCACGAAAGCGUGGGAGCAAACAGG